GAUGAACGCUGGCGGCGUGCCUAAUCCAUGCAAGUCGAGCGAACAGACGAGGAGCUUGCUCCUCUGACGUUAGCGGCGGACGGGUGAGUAACACGUGGAUAACCUACCUAUAAGACUGGGAUAACUUCGGGAAACCGGAGCUAAUACCGGAUAAUAUAUUGAACCGCAUGGUUCAAUAGUGAAAGACGGUUUUGCUGUCACUUAUAGAUGGAUCCGCGCCGCAUGAGCUAGUUGGUAAGGUAACGGCUUACCAAGGCAACGAUGCGUAGCCGACCUGAGAGGGUGAUCGGCCACACUGGAACUGAGACACGGUCCAGACUCCUACGGGAGGCAGCAGUAGGGAAUCUUCCGCAAUGGGCGAAAGCUUGACGGAGCAACGCCGCGUGAGUGAUGAAGGUCUUCGGAUCGUAAAACUCUGUUAUUAGGGAAGAACAAAUGUGUAAGUAACUAUGCACGUCUUGACGGUACCUAAUCAGAAAGCCACGGCUAACUACGUG
rnacentral:rRNA from 1 species